UCUUCCUCACCCGGGGCUCCCUAGCUCGGCCGCUCCCCUGACCCCUUCACUUUGAUGCCUGACCUCCAAGGACCCGGGAGGGACCGGGUCUGACUCCUCUCUCUAUCCCCGUGACCGGAGACGCUGCCUCACGUCCGGUGGGAGCGCAGAGGGUUGGUUUCGGGGGGAGCUUUUACUCGAAGUCUAACACACACGCAGGAACGUCCCCAAAUCGUGCCCGUGCAGCUCCACAAGCCGCCACGACGCGGGCCUGUCUGGGCAGCCGCACCCAGGUCGAGAAGUGACCACAGGACCCGGACACGCUUCCUCCCGACCCCGCAGCCAGCCUCCAGCCCCGACGCGUCCUGGGCUCCCUCUCUAAUUCCCGGGUUUUGCCCGGUGUUGAACUUUGUCUGAUCUUUUAUCUUAAAAAGACCGUGGCUCCUUUCUCUCCUGAACGUUUUCCGGGUUUGUCCACAUUUUUCUGGGUGUGGCUGCAGCUCAUUCGUUGCCCUUGCUACCCCGCGUGCCACUGCGUGGCUUGCACGAACAUUCCCCAUCAUUCACCCCUGCUGCCGCGGGCGGCAUGGGGGUUGAUUCCCAGUCUGGGGGUGCCGCUCUGCACAUUUGCGCAUGUGUUUCUGGUGACUUCGGUGACUGAAAGGGAGCCCACUGCCUGGUGAAACUGAGCAUUGAAACACGACGCGCUCCACCAAAGGAGGGGGUUGGAUACGCCGGCCAGUCAAGAACAGAGUGAUCUGAUUGAGCCCGCUCAGGAAGGACAGAUGUCACAGGAGGAGGCACUUGAGUGGGGUCUUGAAGGAUGACCAAGACUUAAGAGCCCCUCACGCGGACAAGGGACUUUCGCGGCGUCAAGGGAAUGAGUCGAGACGGUGAUGCACGUGUUACGUCAUAGAAGGAGCUUCCGUGAUCAAGUGAAACAAACACGGAAAACGCAGCCGGUGCGCGUCCUACAGAACGAACAAAUAUUUCCAGCAUUCCUGACGUGUGCCAGGGGACGUAGCCCGCGCUUUCUCUGUUCAUAUCACUGAUUCCAAACCCUCCAACAAAAUUGUGAAGCCCCUUGCGGCAAGAUUUUCUGCACAAUCAGAUGCAACAGGUAAUCAGCUGUCUCUCUCACAUUUGUUCUCCGGAGGCCGCCGUCCAGGAGCCCGGGUCGCCCAGUGCCCACUGGGGCUGCUGCCCAGGACCUGCUCCUGCCGUCCCGACCUCCACUCCGGGGAUUCUCUCUUUCUGAAUCCCGGGCCCUCCUUCCUUGUUCACUCUCCUGCCAUGGAGCACAUCCUCCAGUGUCUGUGGAGGCAUGCAUUUCUUUGGUUCUAGAAAGUUCUUGGACAUUUUCUCCUCAAAUAUUUCAUCUCUCCCAGUCUCUCCUUGGGGAGCUCUGGGGAAGGGUAUGUUGGUUCUGUUCUCUAGGGUUCUGAUCCCCCCGUGGGGUCCCCCUCCCUGUCUUUCUGAGUAAUUGCAACGCGUCUAUCUGAGUUUAUGAAUCCUCAUUCCAGUUGUGUUUUGUAUUUCCACGUUACGGAUUUUUAUUUCUAGAGGUUCUUUUUGGUUGUUCUCCAAGUUGCCUGAUUGUUCAAAGUCCAUGCUCAGGCUUUGAACUGAGUCUCCUGUGUAUAGCCGUCUGGAGACAUCUGGAACCUUCCUGCCCGAGCCUUCCCUGGGGGCCUGUCUCCCCUCUGCCCUUCUUUGCCGCACUCUCCCCGCUCUGCCCGUUCAUUUCCUUCCAUCUUCCCCAAGUGUCCUGACCCUCCCCCCCCCCCCCCCCCCCCCGCCAUCACCCCCUUUCCUGUCACGAGGGAGCCACGUUUCAAUAGCUUUGAUUUUGAGUUGACAGAAGGCACGGGCCUUGGCCUCAGAGCCUGGCUAAGACUUAGCGGGAGGCAGCAGGGUAUGAGGAGAGAGCGCGGGGCCCCUGUCCUGGCUUUGCCUGCAGCCCGCUUCGCUUGCUGUGUGGCCCUGACGAGGUCACUGUGUUCUUGGGCCCCCAGUUUCUCUGUCUGUAAAACCCCAGGAGGUUGGCUUACCGAGCACCUGUGAGUCGAGGUCUGCUGUGAGCGCAAAGUAUACAGACCGGAUUUCACAGACUUGGUACAAAGAAGGAGGCACGUAUCUCUUUAAUUCUUUUUAAAAUAUUGACUGCCUGGGGCGCCUGGGUGGCGCAGUC